GAGAUACCAAAGUGAUGCAUCCAAAUUGACUGAAAUAUUUUUCGAUAUGUUUCUCAUUCGUGUUUUGAUCGUAAUUGUAAACGUAUAGAAUGGUAGAGGGUUUCUUCAGAUGCGUUGGAACCUAUCAUUGGUCCAGUAGGAUAAUUUCGAACGGUUUGAAUGUACUGAUUGUGGAUUCUAUGCGGUCUUUUUUCCUGCACUUCUUUGACUGAUGAAGUACAAUAAAACUCGACGAAACCGUAACCUACCGAUCUGUGAAGAAUAUUUUGAGUGCGUAAGUGAAUUAGAAAAUUAUCAGAAGACCGGUGAUCGCCGAUCGAGGCGACGCAAACGCAAAGAUUUGGCGUUACAAAAACAACGAAAAGCGAUAACUAGUGACAUUUGCAAAACACAUUCACGUAAUUCACACUUGUUACAUCAACGCAUAUAGCGGAAACACUGUAAUCUGUGUACAAUACAAACUUUGGAGGCAAGUUCUAUCUAGCAAUGAUGAAUUCAUUCGGCUAUAUACGUAACGUACCUAUCUACCUGCAAACUGAUAACAUUGUGUUCAUUUCCUGUGUCGAGGAGGAGGAGUAGGCCUACGACCUGAACUCGCAGAAGAAGACGCCGUGGCAAAUGAUGUAGGCCUAGAGCUAGGUUGAAGAUUUGUCAUCGUCGGCUGUGUCUGAAGACUUGGAUACAACGGUUGCUGUUGAAUAGGAAUGCUGACGAAAUCUAAAUAUACCAAAAAAAAAAAAAAAUCAUUCGAAAGAAUAAUAAAAUCGAAUGAAUAUGAGUACCUAUUUUAUACGAUAAUAAGUCCAUAUUUACGUGGAUUGUAGGGAGACUGAUGUAGAUCCUGCGCAGGAAGACUAGGAGCAGUUAGAUUAAUUGGAUUUUUUCCAGCGUUCAUGGUCGAGUUAUAGCUCGAAGCUCUUGAUGGCGAGUUUUUCGUAAUGCUUGAGUUCUUUACUGAGUUGGAUCUGGAAUAAUUUACUGCUGGUUUUGUACUAUUCUGCGUUACUGUUCCGGUAUGAGGCUUGGUACACUUUUCCAAAUCAUCUCCCAGGUAUUUUGCUACCGUAAUGGUGCAGUUAUUUAUAGUGUGAUUAUCAGCCACUGAAAACAAUGCAAAAAUGAAGUAGACAUGUUUGUGUUUGAUUAGAUUUGAAAAGAAGAUUCUUACAGCAUAUAUUAUCUACGGCGUCGUAAUCGUCGAACUGCAACUCCAUGAAUUUAAUAUCUUCUGGUCGUUUGACUUUACGAGAUACCAUAGUAAUGUCUCCAAAUUGACUGAAAUAUUCUUCGAUGUUUUCCUCGUCCACACAAUCGUUGUAAUUUGAAACGUAAAGAACGGUGGUGGGUUUCUUCAGAUGAUUUGGGAACUUUCAAGAGGAUGUAAUGUAUUAGUAGGUAUAGUUUGAGAUAUUGAAUUUUUCAUUCAUUCCUGAUGGAAUAUUUCUUUUGAAGAAAAAUAUCGUUCCUAUUUCAUAAUUUCACUUACUUCUUUUGGAUAAGUUCUAACCGUCUGAACUUCCUGAUCGUUUAUUUUAUGCGGUCUUUUUUCCUGUACUUCUUCAACCGAUGCUGAGCUUUGAAAUUCCACGAAACCGUAACCUUUGGAUCUGUAUCAUACACAUAUAUCUCAUAAUGAAAAUAAGUAAGUGUGUAAGUAGGUAUUAUUAGUGGAAGAAAGCUAACGUAAGAACGAUUAGAAAAUUGAUAGUCACUAAUAACUUAUUCAAUAGGUAUCGUUUUCACAAAAUUCACCAAAGUGAAAAUACAAAGCGGAUGAAUUUUUAUAUUCUCGUAUCUCCGAGAAUCGAAUUUUCAAAGUAUACAUAUUUCUAAGAAAUGAAUUUAAUAAAUCCUUUUGAAUGAAGAAUAGAUUCUCUUGGCGUUGGCGUCGCGUUUUCUCGAUUCGCAACCAUCAUUUCUUACCGUCCUUACUUGAGAAAAUGAGAAGUAAUGAGAAGUAAUCAGUAAGCCUACUUUUUGUUUUCAUCAUAAACGAUGAAAGCAGUUACCACUGAACCGUAUUUCUCGAAGUACUCUUUCAAUUGCUGAUUUGUCGUGCUUGUAUUCACAUUACCAACGUAUAAUACUCUCAGAUGUUGCGGUUCUUUUUUCUGAAACUGAAAGAUUAAUGAUAUUUUUAUUUAAGCCUAUUCAAUUUUUUUUACAGCAGUACCUAUACUUACAUUUUUGGGUAUGUUUUGUUUCUUCUUUUUAGGAGAGACGUGUUUACAAGUUGCAAUUUUACCAUUUAUCAGAUGGUUCCUAUCUUGAAUUACUCGAUUGGCACUCGCAGGAUCGGUGAAAUUUAUAAACGCGUAACCUUUAGAACUGCACAACCAAUUGACGUACAUACUCAUCAGUAUCAUCAAUUCAAUCAUGUACGUAACGUAGGUAGAUGAUUUUUAUAAAAAUUUAUCACAUAUAUGAAAUCAAAAUAGCAGCUUACCGGCCAUUCAAAUCUCGAACAAUUUUUCCACUUGUUACGCCGGUGUAUUUUUUUUGAAAAUAUGAUAUUAAAUCGACAUCUGACGUGGUUGGGUCGAGAUUGGUAAUGAAAGCACUAUUUUUCGUUGAUUGAUUUGACUGAAAUGCAGUGUACAUAUUGAUAAGGAGGAUAGAUAUUUUUUAGUUCUGACUGCGAAUCAAAUAGAAAAUGUGGUUACCUACCAUUUCAGCGAAUGUUUUUGCGUUGAGCAGAUGAUGUUUAUACGAGUAUUGUUAUUUUUAAACAGAAUUUGGCGUCGAAAACAACAGAAAGUGAUAACGUGAGACAUUUACCGCGACCUUCAAGAAUUUCACUGUGCAUACAAAGUUGCAGAGAUUGAAAAUAGUACUAUUCCGAUCUUUCUGGACUCGUAUACUGUUUUUCUAUACGCUAUACGCGUGUAGCCGGUAGAUUGGACUGCAGAAAGCAGUAGCGAUCAUUUGUUUAUGUAUGACGUCUGUAUUAUAGCACGUCGUGCGUUCCCUUCUCCCCUGACUUCCGACUUGGACUGAAUGGUGUCGCCAUUUUGCGUUAAAAUUCAUUCUCCGUCUACUGUUUGCAUACUGCUCACUGUUCAGUUUGCAUAUCGAUAUGCAUCGAGUGACCGAGACUAGUCUAUAAUAUGUUAUGAAAAGAAUUUCAGUAUUUCUAGGCUUUCUACUCUACCUCAACCUGUACCUAUACCGGCAGAGUAUGGGGUAAUAAAUGAGCACGCUGCACGCUGCUGUCGUUGGAUCAUCGAAGAAAUACAAGAAUACAAAAUUUAAAAACUUAUUAUAAUACACUAUAAUAUUAUCAACUCGUUAGAUAAAUCGUAUAAAAACAAUCGCAACAAGUAUGUUAUUCAAAUACCUAAACGUACAAGGUUACAACGAAAGUGAAAAAUGUUACGACUAAAUAUCAUAAUAGAUCCAUCACGGAGACGGGGCUGCGAGAAGAAGAGCACAACCUGCCAUACAAAUCCCUUGAGCUUCAGAACAAAGACUCAAAGCCGCAGGAGUUCCAACACCGAAAGUAACUGCAAUAUUAAUAUACUGGGACGUCCUCUUGAAAUUUCAUUUAUCGUGGCUUUAGUAGAUAUUGAAAAAACAAAUUCCAAAUUUAAAUACGAGAGGAGGUACCUAUACAUGCGUAAGAAAACUAAAGAACGAGGUUUUGACGCAAUUGAAUUAGUUUUCAAUUGUUUCCCGAUUGACCAUGCCAAUUAAUGCAGAAAAUAGAUGCCAUGAGAUGAGAUGAAGUAAUACGAGUGAAUUCGAUUCGAUCAAUCACAGGCCUUACAGAUACAUCAAUUUCAACGAAAUGGUUUUCAAUCAAAUGAAAAAAUUGCGAUAUUUCACCACACCCGGGGUGAGUUAUUACUGGAAAGUGAAAAUUCAACGGUAUGAUUUUAUUUAUCCUGUAUGGAAGGAUUAAUGGUACAAUUUCAGAAGAUUCGGCGUUCUUUUGAUAGGUAUAGGGUCACGGGUGGUUAGUUGUCAAUAAUUGUUAGUUGUCAAAUUGCGUUUUUAAAAGGAUACAUGAACGCUAUCCACACAAAACCUUCAUAAUAACUUCAUGCUGUACCUACUAAUGUUCCAACAUGCAAAAUUGGCAACAUAGCUUUUUAUUUGGGGAUACAGUUUUGAAAAAAGUGAUUUUACAGGUGCGAAGUUACACAUGUUAAAUUGGAACUUUUCGUUUUUAAACAUCAAAAAUUUGUCAAAAGUAAAUAAAUUAUACAUCAAUUUAAAGGAAAUUUUAUCACGGAUUCAGUAAUCACAUGUUCAUUUACAAAAAAUUUCGAAAUGAAUAAAAUUUUUUGGUACAAAGAUGAAAAACGAGAAGUUGUUAGUUGUCAAAAAAGGGAAUAUUGUUAGUUGUCAAUGAGACAGUUUACCAAAAUAUGCAUCAAAGUGGAAAAAUAUUUCAAGAAAAUUAUCUAUUGCAUUAUUGAAUCAUUUUUUUUCUGCAUUUCAUUCUAUAAAACGAAUAAAAAGUUGAAUUGAUCGAUUUACCUACGCAAAAAAAAUUCAAAGAAUGACCAGUCAAUUUUUAAGUCGUUUAUGGAUAUUUUUUCAAGUUUUUGGGUUUAUCUAAAAGUUUAGUCCUUCUCACAUGUUUUCUUUCUGAAAAUUUUUGAAAAUUGAAUUGUACGUUUUUUUUAUCAAUAGUGAAUGCGUGUUUGACAACUUACAACAGGGGUGGUUGUUAGUUGUCACAAAAAAGUACCUCACUAAAUCCACGAUUAACUAUUCAUCACAUGAACCAAAAUUCAAUUUUAAAAAAAGAAAACACGCGGAAAGAAUCAAGCUUUCAAAUGAGCCUAAAACCGCAAAGAAAUAUUCAUAAAUGGCUUCAGAAACUUCAAAAAUCAUUUUUUUUUGACAACUAACCACCCGUGACCCUACUUAAUCAGAAAGAAUGGUUGAAUCACGCUGAAGUACAAACCACCUGAGCUGCACUGCAGGCCAAUAAUGCAGGAGGAGUUCCAGCACCGGAAGUAACUGCAAUAAUACGGAUUUGGUUAGACUUCUGAUGGCAUUAAAAAUAGAAAAAUAUUUUUCGGUCGAAACUUACCAGUACCUACCGAUUACAGCUCCUGCUGCAGAAAAGCGCGCAGCCGCAACUACGUUGCAGUCGUUUUGGCAAAGCGUGUAAGUAAAUGGACCGGCAAAGGCACCAUUUUUUCUUCGAAAAUUCCGAAAAUCAUGAUCUCAUUUUGGCCUCAAAAUUCAUCGAAACUGUUCAAAAAAGUAUUGAUAGAGGUUUUUGAUUUUCUUUCGAUAUUUUAAUCCAUUUUAAUUUUUAAUUGAUCGUAUCGCACAUUUUGCAAAAGUCUCAAAAAUCAUGACACAAUUUUGAAAGUGAAAAUUUUUCAAAAACGCUCGAAAGAAGUUUCGUUGAAAUACGUAGGUAUAUAGGUAUUUUAAUUUCUCGCGAAAUUUCUAUUCGUUUUGAUAAGUUGCAUGACUUUUGUUCGGAAAUCCCAAAAAAUGACCUGAUUUCGCGGCUCAUAAUU